UACGGGGGGGGCAAGCGUUGUUCGGAAUUACUGGGCGUAAAGGGCGCGUAGGCGGCCUUCUUAGUCGGACGUGAAAUCCCCAGGCUUAACUUGGGAACUGCGUCCGAUACUGGAUGGCUUGAGAUUGGGAGAGGGACGCGGAAUUCCAGGUGUAGCGGUGAAAUGCGUAGAUAUCUGGAGGAAUACCGGUGGCGAAGGCGGCAUCCUGGACCGACAUUGACGCUGAACGGCGAAAGCUAGGGGAGCAAACGGG
rnacentral:rRNA from 1 species